UUGAUUUCAAAUUUCUUUUUCCCUUAUUAUUCAUUUUCAAAUUCAUUAUUUUUAAAUUUGUUUACAUUUUAUUUUGCCUUAUGUUUUUUUUUAUACUCUUUGUUUUAAAUUCAUUGGUCUUUGAUUAUUGAUGCUAAUAUUUAAAUAAUUUCCAUUAUGUGUUUUAUAAAUUGUUUAUUUAUAUUUUCAUAUUGCCGUUUUUUAUCAAAGUUUUUAUGCAUCGUUUUAAUAUUGAUUCAAUUUUCCCCAAUUUUAAAAAAGAAAACUUUUAAAAAUAA
rnacentral:lncRNA from 1 species